ensembl:scaRNA
AGCCAGGCAAGGUAGUGUGGCCCAGAGUAUGAAUGGACACAUGAGUGGGCGUUCAAGGCAAGUAAGUUCUCCUUGGCCCCUCCCUCAUCUGCACCUCGAUCUUAUUUGAUUGGGUUGUCUCCAGCCCUACCAGGCUGCCCCAAAAUGAAAAGCUCCCCUCCUGCAGAUCCCCCUUCUCAGGAUACUAUGCAGUGAUCUCUGAGGGGAGCGACUUGUGGGCUUCUACUCUCCUGAUGUCCUAGAGAUGGUCCUGCAGGCACAGUACUGGCAAGUGAUUAAUUGGUCAGACAGGGGAGGCUGGGCCUGCCUGACUGAGGCAAUUCUGAUCUAA